AAGGAAAUAAAAGCUGGCCACCUGCACAUCUAUGGUAAUGUGUUCUGGUCUCUUUUGCUACGUGGAAUGAUCGGUGCUCCGCUCUUUUCAGUAAGUUUUGAUACCGCCCACUGUUUGGGUCUGCUGUGGUGUUUAUGGGUUGUGAUACUCACUGCAGUGGUCAGCAGGAGUAAGUGGACCACGAACCCACUGGGGAGGAGCAAAGAAACUCCGGAUGUGCCGCAUUUAAAAGCUGUAGCACUCACUGCAAAAAUGUGCAGCUUCAUCUCGUUCAUGAGGUCUUUCAAACCACCAACCGACUGGAAGAAAGACUUCGAACACGUCUUACUAGGGGGAAGAAUGAAUUUCAGGCACAGGAUCUACAAGAGCUGUAACACUCCCUGCGAAAAUCGGCAGCUUCGUUCUCGCAGUCAGUAAGACCAAGAACGUGCUGGAAUGAUGUAAACGAUCCCGGGAACAUGUCCUUUGUGAAGGAGACGGUGGACAAGCUGUUGAAAGGCUACGACAUUCGCCUGAGACCCGACUUCGGGGGUCCCCCGGUCUGCGUGGGGAUGAACAUCGACAUCGCCAGCAUCGACAUGGUUUCCGAAGUCAACAUGCCUUCUUUCUGUUGGAGGUGCUUAGAAGCAGGGAUACAAUCAAAAGGCGUGAAGACACAGGAGAAGAAGAAAUGGAAGAGAGAAUAGAAACAGUUAAAAAUUUUUUCUAAACCGAUUUCCAAUUCUGGUCAAGAUGGAAUAGUGUCAUUCCUCCCAGGUCCUUCCUCCUGGAGCACAAAACUCUGGCCAUAACACAACAAAUAAACGCAGGAAGAA
rnacentral:sRNA from 1 species